UGCCAGGUAGGCAGCAGGCGGCAGGGGGUUAAUGUGGGGAGCAGGCAGGGGUGGGGUGGGUGGGAAGCCAGCUGGGGAAAUGGGGGCUGCAGGGCCCAGCCCGACCAGGCACAGACACAGGGGGCUCUGUCUGCCUGCCCGCUGCCCUGGCACUGUGACUAACCGCCCCACUAUUGUGAGUCUGAAGUCAGCCCUUUGUGUCGUCCCCUGGUGUCUGGGAGCACAGCCGAAGAAGCCUUUCCAGCAGCCCCCCUCAUUCUGGAACCUGCAGCCCCAACACCCAUUCUUUCAGCUCUCAGGGUUGCUGGGGGCUGAUGAACCAGUGGAAGCAUCCCUCUCCCCAGCCAGGAAGGGCCACCAGCAAAAAAGACGCAGAAAACCAGUCUCCACUACUCUGGGUGGGGAAGUGGGGGGCACAGGGACCUGGUAAACCUGCAUGCCCACCCAGGUAGCCCCUCCUCCACAUGCAGCAACUGAGCCCUUGACAUGGGGAGAGGCCGAAUCGAAUGUGAAAAAAUGGCAGAAUACCCCGUUCGUAGUUUCACCUAAGCAACACAUUGAAAUCGGAUUUGGGAAAUGCGUAUUAGAUUACAAUGAAUUUUGGUACUAACGGGAAUCUCACCUGCUUAUUUUCACUUUCCAACAAUGUGGCUAUUAGAAGAUGCUAAACUACAGACGUGGCCCGCGUCUGUGGCUCACGUUGUUUUGUGUGAGCUCGUGGGUUUGGGGGUGCAGGAACCUUGAAGGCUGCUUUCUCCUAGGGAGACAAUGGCACUCCCCAUGCAUCAUUGUCAGGAAUACCAGGCCCUCACAGCCACACUGUCUCCUGACCCUGGCCUUGCAGUCCCCUGUUUUGAGAAUUGGGACUUACACAUGCUGGUGUCUGGGAGUCCUUUGUCAAACACUCGCGUGCACACGAGGACACCUGCACACUGAUAUGCACCUACACCGACACGCAUGGACACACACACAGCCCUGGCUCCCGUCGACCGCAGGCUGGAGCAACCUGUCCCAUCUAGCCUUCGUGGAAGCCAGAUUCAAAGGGCACCCAGGUGCGCCAACCUCCCCAGGAGCCAGACGUCUGACCCUUUGUCCUGGGACAGACAGGACCAACCCAGGACACUCCUGCCUUUCCUGGGCUGGGGCACUUUUGGCUUCCUGAGCCCCUUUCUCUAUUAAUACUAAAAAUCAUAUUUUACGACUACAUCAGCUUAAAGACCAAUAUAACCAGGUUGAAUUCAUUAUCAUAUAUUCAUUAUUUUUAUAGUCAUUUUUUUCUUCUGAUUUUAAAAGAAAUUAAAACGAAAGCAUGUCAUGAGUCCUAGGCUCUGUGCCUUGGCGCGGCGGCCCAGACCAUCCCUCUGAGCCCCGUGUCUCGCCCAGCGAGGGGCACUUAGGGCUUGCCUGCCGUUUGCCCAGUGAUUAGUCACCUUCUGAGCUCAUUCCCUAAGUCCCGCCCUGAAUCUACAGUGUGUGAAGCCCUCGUCUCCCACAUUAUUUUUAAAGCGGAAAUCAGAAGGAAGGCCUGGGAUGCCAGUGUGGCUGAAGGCCCCAGGUCAGCAGGAACCAAGACCCCACACAGCACAGGGCUGGGGCCUCCAACCCGGGGCCGGGACACCAUGCUUAACACCAAGAGGAGGCCAGCAGACUGGGCAGUGACUGGUACCGUGAGGUGCAGCCUCCAAGGGCACCAGGCCCCCACUGCCUUCCAUCCUCCACCCUGAUGCAGGUGCCACGGGGCCCCAGGUUCUGGAUGGAGGUGCCGAGCAGGCUGGGCUUUCUGGUCCCCCAGAACCAGCGUCGGCCGCUCUGGCCUUUCCCUUCUCAGGGUGCCAAGGCGCCAGGCCCGGGUCCAAACCCUGCUCAGGAAGGAUGGGCCGGUGCAGGAGAUGGUUAAAAUUCUGCAUCCUUUUUGCAUCCGCCUCCAGAGGAAGCGCUGCUUUUUUUUCCCCCCUGAAGCAGGGCGGGGCCGGGGAAAAGCUGAGAGCAGCAAUUUGCAGGCCUUGGGAUGUUUUUCUCCUUGACAGCCCAGCCCCGCCUUGCUCCGGCCCUUCCUCCGAGCCCUGUGGCCACGGCUCGGGCUUGGUGUCUGCCACUCCUGCUGCUGCUCCUGCCCGGGCCCCUGCAUACGCAUCCUCCCCUCGGAGCCCCAGCCAGCCCCAGUCGGCGGGGAGGCCGGCUGGGGGCAGGCGGGCAGCGAUGCCCGUGUCGGCCGCAGCUGCCUGGCACUGCCCUCCUUUGUGCCUGCCUCCUCUGCCAACCUCCACUCUCCCCCCGCACCCAUGAGGCCUGCUCCUGGGCCUGGCCGCUGGCCUGUUGCCCACCAAGUGCCCACCCUGUGCCCACCCAAGGUGCCCUCACCUUCUGGGCCCCUGGCCCCUGGCCUCAGAUUCUGCUGGUGCCCAGGUCGCCGGGCCCCGUCCUCUGUGCUCUGCGUUCGCCCCACCCUGCUGCCCGAGCUCGGCGGCGAGCCUGGCAUGGUGCCAGGCUGCCUGGGAGCCCAGCCCAGGCAGGGCAAACUUUCCAGUGAGGCUUGGCCUCAAACUCCUGGGUUCACGCAACCUUACUGCCUUGCCCUCCCAGUGUGCUGGGAUUACAGGUAUGAGCUACCACGCUCAGCCCAAACCCAGGGCUCUUAACCACCCUACUAUGCACUGUGCUGGCCCUGGUCAAGGGAGAGAAUUCUCAUCAGGCAAAAAUGUGUUACAGAGAGGCAGCUAAGCAUGCUCCACAAUGGGUGGCACAGUCCCCCUCACAAACCACCCCUCAGAUCAAACCCCGGGGAACUCUGUUCCCUCCAGCCCGUGGGCAAGGAAUGCAUAGCACCAGGCAAUGGAGCUAAGAGGCCUGCACUCCUCCAGAGAGCUGUGUGUCUCUGGGAAAACUGACGCGCUUCUCUGAGUCUGUUGCGACAGCUUUACCAGCAGAGGUAUGAGUGCAGGCCUUCUUGGCUGCCUGUCAGUGGAUGCACUGGCCUGUGCCCCGGGCUCUGCGGGGGCCACACUGACAUUGCCACACACCCACCCUCCUGCUCAUGCAACAGCCCGUUCACACCUGGGUUUCCACCAGCCGAAGGCUUCUUGGGAGGAGCGGACUCUUCUCCACGGACAAAACACAGCCCCUUUGAGGGCCCCAGCUUCCUUACCUAUGAGAUGAGGAAAGAAAUCUUCACUUCCCACUGGGCUUGGGGGGAUGAAAAGGUAACCUCCAUAAAGUGGCCUCGAGUGUGGGGAAGCCACCCAAUAGGUGACAUUCCCCACAUCCCUCCCU